rnacentral:rRNA from 1 species
GAAAUUGCCUUGAUGUGGGGGAUAACCAUUGGAAACGAUGGCUAAUACCGCAUAAUGCUUUUGUUUGUAAUGAACGGGAGCCAAAGAGGGGGACCUUCGGGCCUCUCGCGUCAAGAUAUGCCCAGGUGGGAUUAGCUAGUUGGUGAGGUAAUGGCUCACCAAGGCGACGAUCCCUAGCUGGUCUGAGAGGAUGAUCAGCCACACUGGAACUGAGACACGGUCCAGACUCCUACGGGAGGCAGCAGUGGGGAAUAUUGCACAAUGGGCGCAAGCCUGAUGCAGCCAUGCCGCGUGUAUGAAGAAGGCCUUCGGGUUGUAAAGUACUUUCAGCAGUGAGGAAGGUGGAUGUGUUAAUAGCGCAUUCAUUUGACGUUAGCUGCAGAAGAAGCACCGGCUAACUCCGUGCCAGCAGCCGCGGUAAUACGGAGGGUGCGAG